AGAGUGAACGCUGGCGGUAGGCCUAACACAUGCAAGUCGAACGGCAGCACAGUAGGAGCUUGCUCUUACGGGUGGCGAGUGGCGGACGGGUGAGGAAUACAUCGGAAUCUACCUUUUGGUGGGGGAUAACGUAGGGAAACUUACGCUAAUACCGCAUACGCCCUUCGGGGGAAAGCCGGGGACCAGCAAUGGCCUGGUGCUGAUAGAUGAGCCGAUGUCGGAUUAGCUAGUUGGUGAGGUAAUGGCUCACCAAGGCGACGAUCCGUAGCUGGUCUGAGAGGAUGAUCAGCCACACUGGAACUGAGACACGGUCCAGACUCCGUA
rnacentral:rRNA from 1 species